AACUAUCUGAAAAGCCUGUGUGUGAGUCAGAUGUGUCUGCGGCUAAUCUAUUGGUUAUAAAAUAUCACAGCCUUUUCUGAUUGGCUGAGUUCAAAUACAGAAAGUUUACCUGUUAGAUUGAAAUUAUGGAGAAGGCGUAUUGAAGAAAAAAUGCAGGUUAAACUUGUUGUUAAAAUGAAGUUAAUGUAAUUUCACAAACAGUAGAGUUUAACUUAAUGAGUUUUUCCAUUAACAAGAAUUUCUUAAAAUAAUAAUGUAUGGAUAUCAUUUGGAAAGUGACAUGAAAUGUUGUUAAAAAGUGAUGCAUACAAGUGUUUCAGAAGUCUGUCUAGGAAUAGAACAACAACUGAAGCUGACCAGUUGAUGGAAGAUACUGCAGAGUUUGGCAGGGAAAUAACCCAAGACAGCAAAGCGGCUCUUUUGGCGCAUUUACCAAGAGGACUAACAUGGCCACAAAUUCAUGAGAUCAUGCAGGAGCCGUACAGUAUAACAGCAGUACAAGUUCUAUAAAAGAUCCACGACCUACUGAAGCCCAGCUAAUUAACAAAAAAGUUUUUAAAAACUGUAAUUUUAUCCCACCUGGGUACUUAUAAUUUACUAACUGUCACUUGGAAAGUAAUACAUGUACAUGCAUUCAUGUUCUGAAUUUCUUUGAACAAUAAAAUUAUAUAAAAGUAUUUUAAUGAAAUUGAGCACCUAAAUUGCAUUAAAGUGAAAGUAGCUGAGAAAAAUAGUAUCCUUAAUUGUUCUCAUGGGCAGCUACAUAUAUUGUGACAAACAUGAAGUAGCUAAAAUAACUUAAAUUUUUCAUUUUGUUUCUUGUAUAUCGUUUGUACAGGGUUCGUGAAUUGUUACUGUAUAUUACUUGACUUGCUUGUAUUUUGUUACUUUGAAUACAUGUUGUUAAGGUUGCAUUAUACUUUUUAACUUUUAAAGUAGCGCCUGUUCUGUUAUGUAAGGGCCUGAUUUAUGAUAAUGGACCUAGAGGCUUUGUAAGCAUGUAUUAAACAACACUUGUUUGAUCUGAAUAAUUUGUUAAAUAAAUGUAACACAAUUUGUAAUCUGAUGUUAUAUUUUGAUGAAUUGUGAACAAAAUAAUACAUCGAAGAAACUAA